AAGUAGUAUACUCAUGGAACGCUAGAGUUGGAAGAAACUUCGGAAGUCAUUCUGGCCUACAGAUUGAACAGGGAAAGAAAGGAAAGAAGAAUGAAGAAAGGAAAGAAGGAAGGAAAGAAAGAAGAAAAAAAAGAGAAAAGAAAGACAAUUCUAUAAUGUUGUUCCUCAACAUUUGAGUGGACAGCUAAAUCUGAAGAGACACCAAGUUUGCAAAAGCCCUUGAAGAUGAAGAGAUUUGUCCUUUUCUUCUCUUGUGCUUGCUAAUUUUUAUUUUGUGACAUGGC